CUGAAAAGUAUAGGUUCCAUACCUACUCAACCUUUUUGACAAGGAUUCAAUAACUUUUAUUUUUGCUAGGAGCAAGCUAGGCUGCCAUGCUUCCUCUAUCUGUGCAUUGACAGAAUUAUUGCACGUACACACUCGGUCCAGGACUUCCCAGGAAAACAUUGCACACCUGUGUUGCUGGGCCUUGUCUCAGGAAGCCUAUGAGCUACUGCUCCAACCUUCUGAUAUUCAAUGUGGAGAAAUGGACACUAUGAGGUUGCAAUCUCAUCCAGCAACUCACUUCUUUCUCAUGAAGUCUUGCCCAAAGGACACUUCAGGGCCUGUGUUAGCACAGAAGUUCUGGUGUUGCACCUCAAGGGGAGUAGGGUCAUUUUCCCCUUAUGUCUGAAAAUACAAAGGGACUGGGGAACUGAGUAUUGCCAACAAAACAGCCUACUAGGCCUGAAAAGACAAUACAAUUUAAAGAAGAUGCAAGGCCAGGGAGUCUUUCUUAUAUCUUUUGUUUUUAUCAAACUUACUGGUUGAACUGGGAAACUUUUAAGGUUAUUUUAACAAUCAAAAGGGUCAGAAACUUACCCUUUUGUAAUAUCUUUUAUCUCUCUCUCUCUCUCUUACUUUUUAAUUUGGAUUUUGAUUCUCAAAAUUCUUACACAGUCAUUGCUUGCCAGCAUUCAAGUGCUGGCAAUAACAGAAAAAAAAGUAAAAAAGUUUGUGGGUUUUUUAGUAACUAGAAUUGCUGUUCUUCAGAGAGAAGAAUUAGCCCUGUGCACAAAGCUUGGAUUUCACGUAAAACAGCCCCAUUUCUUCUUUACUUUUGAUCAAAAAUAUUAAUGUUAUGUAUGGCUUUAUCAGCAAAGUGUAAUAUUUCCUUAAAAUUUUUUAAUAUUUUCAGGCUUUCUUCCAUUUAAAAUUACAAUUCUCUGCUAUUUCAGUUAAAUGCUACACCAAUUUGUUUGAAGUUGAGUAAUUUUUUCCUGCAGUUCUAGCUCUGAAUUUCAUCAGCACCACUUAGGGCUGGUCAAUCAGCAGGACAGUACUUAAAUCUGUACAAAAAAUAUCAAGCUUUUCAUCAUUAAUCUGGUGUUUCUAGAAUAUACUUUCACAUUUUGAUCCUUGUCACUACAGUUUGUUUUAUUCAUCACUGUACUGAUAUGGUUGCAGCUCAGCUCAGCUCACUUUGUGUUGGUGGGACUGCAAUGAAAGAUCAGAUGAAAUCAAGCUGCUCUCCAGUUUCUUUAUCUGGAAGAGAAAGAGCUGAUAUCAACAAUUUCACACCCCGAGUCACAAUUUUAAGAACAGGAAAAGCACAAACUCUUGAAACAAAUUAAUUUAUUUACUAAAGAAAUUACCAAUCUCAACUGCAUCUAUUUCUGAAACAGAAAAUCUGCUUGAAGCUCAUUGUUUUGGAUCUCAGCUUAUAGACAUUGUCUUCACAGGUCCCAGGUUGUUACAUUAUAGUCUCACCUCAAGAUUCUGUUGACAUUUGAGACUCCCCUGUAGACAGGACUAGGUACAAAUAUAUUAC
rnacentral:lncRNA from 1 species